AGCGAACGCUGGCGGCAGGCCUAACACAUGCAAGUCGAACGAACCCUUCGGGGUUAGUGGCGGACGGGUGAGUAACACGUGGGAACGUGCCUUUAGGUUCGGAAUAACUCAGGGAAACUUGUGCUAAUACCGAAUGUGCCCUUCGGGGGAAAGAUUUAUCGCCUUUAGAGCGGCCCGCGUCUGAUUAGCUAGUUGGUGAGGUAAUGGCUCACCAAGGCUACGAUCAGUAGCUGGUCUGAGAGGAUGACCAGCCACAUUGGGACUGAGACACGGCCCAAACUCCUACGAGAGGCAGCAGUGGGGAAUCUUGCGCAAUGGGCGAAAGCCUGACGCAGCCAUGCCGCGGGGAUGAUGAAGGUCUUAGGAUUGUAAAAUCCUUUCACCGGUGAAGAUAAUGACUGUAGCCGGAGAAGAAGCCCCGGCUAACUUCGUGCCAGCCGCCGCCGUAAGAC
rnacentral:rRNA from 1 species